CUUGUCAGUUCUUCUGCUAACAAGCGUACCAAAAUGAAGACUUUCCUACAUUUGGCCCUUGUUCUUGCCUUGACAAUUGUUGGCAUUAAGUCAGAAUGCCUAGUAGAUGAUUUGGAGUGUACUUCCACUGAAGGAGCCCUAGAAGCUCUUGAAGCUCAAGAUCCGCAUGAUUGUAUGCAACAAUGCAAAAACAGUCCUUCGGCAUCCCAAAUCAACUAUGCUUACAUGCCAGCCUACCAUCUUGGUAUAGUUAUGUGCUAUUGCCUUGCAGAAUGUCAACCCAAAAGAAAGUACUUUGCGCUUGUAGCUGAUCUUACAGACAGCACCACAUCCGAGGUUUGCAAGUUAUCCUAUGGAUAUGAGCCGUAGUAUUUUGUUCUAUUCUUGUUGAUGACUACCAUGCAUAGGUGUAAGAACAAAUAAAUGCAUAUCCCAUAA